GGGUGUUGGCAUGCGCGCGUACGGAGGAGCUCCACCUCACCCACUUCAGCUUCCUCCUGUCGUCAUCAUCGUCCUCCGCGCGACCACGCCAACUUCCAUGGUUUGGGGGAGCCUUCCCUAUGAGGAUCCAGCGUGUCGUCCUCGUCGCACCCUAAUUAGGUUCCUGGUGUGUCCGCACCGCCGCACCCUAAUUUAAUUUCGACUGGAGUCUAGGACGUCAGCGCCACCAGUUUACCAAUCAGGUCGUUAGCACUGCCGUCCAGGUGAUAAUAAACGCCGUUCACCACAACAAGAGGUGAGAGGCAGAUUCCAGAUAAGGGAGCAAACUGCGUAGCAAGAUCAAUAAUGAAUGGUUCAAGUCAUGUGUUACAAGUUACAAUGAGCAGGUGGUACUCAAGUCCGUUGAUGAUAAGGAUAUUAUUCGAACAUUUACUGCAAUGAGGUCUCGGAAAGGGCAUUUGCCUCGUGAUUGUCUUUAGUGCGCUGUCGGUAUUCGGUAUGUUCCAUCUGACCAUCUCUAUUCCUGCAAGCUUUUGAUUUGUAAUAUAUUCAAAUAAUUUGUAUUUAAAAAUUAUGGGUUAGUAGAUCCGUUUUAAUUUGCAUUUCUAUUCUAGCAAGUAUUCGGUAUUUGCAUUCUUUUGUCCACGCUUUAAUUCCUAGAUCCCGUUUGUUUCGGCAGCAUUGUUACUUUGUUGUUUCUUCUGCUACAAGGCCCAUGGUUAUAGUAAACCUUCUUAUUUUAAGCAUCCUAUCAAACCUACUUAAACAAACGUGUGC